rnacentral:rRNA from 1 species
AGUGAUGAUGGCAAAGAGGUCACACCCGUUCCCAUACCGAACACGGAAGUUAAGCUCUUUUGCGCCGAUGGUAGUUGGGGGUUUCCCCCUGUGAGAGUAGGACGUCGCU